rnacentral:sRNA from 2 species
GUAUUUAGAUUGCUUAAUUCCUGAUAUUUAAGUCGGGAAACGGGGGAACCAACUUUGGGGCGAAUCGGCUGGCUCUGGUCACAGAGACAGCGUAGGAAACCAUCUUUCCGAGUCCGUCAGCUAACCUCGUAGGCGUAGAUGGGUCAAGGG